GCCACCAAGUGUUCCCACUGACUGGAUGUC
rnacentral:piRNA from 1 species